GUUCGUUUGGAUGUAACAAGGGGCGAGAGAGUAAGAGAAAGUUUGAAUGUUGGUGGUUGCAGCCAGCGUGAGUCCACUGCUUUACAACUGAUUGCUGUUUGCUAAAAGAGACUGUUAAGGCAGGGACGUUAUGCUUUGCUACUAUUUUAUUUCUAUAUGUAUUGAUUUUUUAUUAAAAAUACACUUUUACAAAAGAGGCAGUAUUGAGAACAACAUACAAUACAUAUUAUUAUACAUGAUGUGUUUGGAUACAACAUCUUUUAAUGAAUAGUAUAAUCGAGAAAAAAAGAAAAAAAAAAACGCUUUGCUACUCAACCAAACAGUGUUUGUGUUUUCAAGUCAAUACACGGAACAAACAAGAUACCAGGUCUGCAUGGAGGCGUUCUUUUGUGUGAUACAAAUAGAAACGUUUUUGCAAAGAAUUUUACAAACAAAGCAUGAGCUGGACACAUUAUGUUCAAAGAUGAGGUGAAGUUUUUUUAAUUUUUUUUUUUUAAUUUUGACAAUCAAAUGAGACUGUUAAACUUAAUGCUUCACUAUGGUAAAAUACGAAUGUGAAAAGAUGCGAGUCUGAGACACUGUUGUCGAGCAAGCACAAAGGGCACCAAAUCUUCAUCCAACAUGCAAGAAUCCCAAACUGAGCUUUUAUUCAGAAUCAGCCCGACAUGAAAAGUUUGACAUGAAAGAAAAGUUGUUCAGAUCCUCAAGUUUUUUUUUUUUUUUUUUUUUUUUUAAUUUAUUAAUCAAUUUUGCUUUGCCGCGUGGUUGCUGAACAAUCCAAAAAACAAAGUGCUUUUUGACAACCUAUAUUCAUGACAGAGAUAUGCCUGCGUUACACCGUUUUUCAAACGAUCAAUAGUUUCCAGAUUUGUUGCACCAUAAACUUAUGUUCGUUUCGGAGGCAUAUUUACAUAAACAUUCUUAUUAAGACAAAAGAGUUGACUUUACUGUGAGGUGGCAUCCCGUGUGUACAGCCCGAGAUGUUGACAGUGUGUGUAUAUUGUAACAAAAAUCCUUAACGAUGUAAGCAUGAGCCUUCAGUUGAUUCAGGGCCAAACUCGAUAUUUAUUACACUAAUAAAGAUAAUCUGCCAAUUGUUAACUAACAAUUAACAGGUCGUCGUGGGGCGCGACAGGUCGCUGUGGAACUAUUCUGUCUCUGUUUAUUCACUUCUCUCUGCUUCACAACAACCACCCAGCUUGUCCCGCCUCGUCCCACUUCACCAGCAGCUCCUGUGAGAAGGGUAUACUUGCAAGACGGACGACACACGCCUCACACCCCAAGCCUGGCACCCUUUAACUCCGCCUCUAACUUCACCUCUACAGUGACGCAAAAAGAAAGGCGUCAUCACAUUUGAGAAGGAGAAACAUAUGCACGGUUGUUGCAAGCAUAGUUGCAUUUAAAUUUUGACAGAAGAGGAUACGCAAGCAGACGCAUUUAUCCACGGCACUUACAGAGUCUAGGGUGUGUUAACUAUGCAUCAGCUGUUACAUAUAACAGCAGUGAAAGGAGGAGUGUUGCCUGAGGUGAAACAGUGUACCCAAUGCUGCACUUUGUACAACUGUCCAUUUUGCCAGCCAAGCAAAUAUAAACCCAAUAAAUGCCACCAUUUAAAAAAGCACUUGGAUGUCCAUCUAAAGGGUGCAGUGCAGUGUGAUGGUUUGUUAUUUAAUGGUUUUUACAUGUAACAUUGUUGAAGGUUGUUUAAUAUAUUUAGUGAACAAUAUGCAUUUCAAGUAAAAUAUUGUGCAUAAAGUCAUUAAUACUUAUUGUUUACAUAUGUUUAUUUAAAUGUUUAUAGAGAAUGCUCAGGAAUAGUCACUUGCAAAUACAGUAGGCUCCAUAAUUACUCAUACCCUUUAUUCAGUGUAAAAUGAAAUGGGGGAAUUAAAUUAAAACUUUACCCACCAGCUAAUCACAAAGUCAGAAUUUAAUGGUGGUUGUAUUUAUUAGUAAAAGAAAGUGUCCACUUAUGAUAAAUCAAACUGCUAUUAAGUACAUAUUUCUAAUUUGGUUUUAGUGGAUGGGUCUAAAUGUUGAUUUAAUCCCCCCAAAGUUGGUUUUAAAAUAUCAACAAAAAGCAAGUGUACAUUCAUUAUUUCUUGCUAUAUCAUAAAAACAUAUCUGUCAAAAAUAAAAGCAUUUUAAUUUUUAAUAUCCAAACUGCAUUAUAUAUUUGUAAUAAAGUUCUUUGUUUGCAAUUUUGAUCUCGUUUGUUUUCAUAGUACUUUUGACAGGAAAGUAGGACUUCAAUCAAAACAGAUAAAUAAGUGCUUUUAAAUAAAAAAAAAAAAACCUUCAGACAACUGUGAAUGAAUGACUGUGUUAACAUCUACUUUGUCAGGGGUGCAGAACUCUGGGGCAAGGUUUUAAUUUUUUGAUCCCCGAGGCCUUCAUUACCUGAUUUGAAUUAAUUUGCUUAAUUGGACAAGUUUACCCUUUUAUUUGCUCUUGAGCAGUUGAAGAUUUACAGACAGCUACAAAAACCUGAUGGACUGACUGCGACUCUAGAGGAACAGAAUUGUGCACCACUAAAUGUAUAUAUUAUACUUGAUGUGGGAUUUUGACAAUUUACGUGUGGGAAAAUUAAACAUGUUCAGUCCAAAUGUUUAUUAAUCGGAGAACAUGUGGAUGUUAAUAAAUGCAUUAUUACAAAUAUUAACCAUCCAUCCAUCAUCAAUAACCACUUCAUCCAAUACAGAGUCACGGUGAGCUGGAGCUUAACCCGGCAGACACGGUGCAAGGCAGGACUACACCCAGGAUGGACACUAGUCCAUCACUGGCCAACUCUCACACUCACACAAGCAUGCACACAGAGGGCAAUUUAGAGUGACCAAUCAACCUGACCAGUAUGUUUUAGGAUGAGGUGAGGAAACCGGUGUGCCUGGUGAAAACCAACAAACUCAGGGAGAACAUGCAAACUCCCCUGAAACGGGAAUCAAACCUGGUACCCUGGAGCUGUGAGGCAGCAGCGCUAACCACCACACCACCAUGCCACAAACUA